GCAGCAGUGGGGAAUAUUGGACAAUGGGCGCAAGCCUGAUCCAGCAAUGCCGCGUGAGUGAUGAAGGCCUUCGGGUUGUAAAGCUCUUUCGCACGCGACGAUGAUGACGGUAGCGUGAGAAGAAGCCCCGGCUAACUUCGUGCCAGCAGCCGCGGUAAUACGAAGGGGGCUAGCGUUGUUCGGAAUUACUGGGCGUAAAGGGCGCGUAGGCGGUGUGUCAAGUCAGGCGUGAAAGCCCCGGGCUCAACCUGGGAACCGCGCUUGAGACUGGCACGCUCGAGUUCGGGAGAGGAUGGUGGAAUUCCCAGUGUAGAGGUGAAAUUCGUAGAUAUUGGGAAGAACACCGAUGGCGAAGGCAGCCAUCUGGACCGACACUGACGCUGAGGCGCGAAAGCGUGGGGAGCAAACAGGAUUAGAUAC
rnacentral:rRNA from 1 species